rnacentral:lncRNA from 1 species
UUUGAGUAAUGGCCACUUGGAAACAUGCAGCACCGAAUAGAAACUCCUCAAUUGGGGCAGAUAUUCAAAUUUCAUAAGUGUUACCUUAGAGAACACAAACUCCUCAAUUGGUUUCGUUUCUACUCUUUCCUUGGCAACAAUUUCCUCCAAUAUUCCACAAUUCUUCACCCACAGAGUGCUUAGCUGCUUCACCUUUGGCCAUUGAGGCUGGAAAGAUAUUUUUCAAACUCUCACACGAAU